rnacentral:rRNA from 1 species
AUUGAACGCUGGCGGCAGGCCUAACACAUGCAAGUCGAGCGCGAAAGUCCUCGGAUGAGUAAAGCGGCGGACGGGUGAGUAAUGCAUGGGAAUCUGCCUGGUAGUGGGGGACAACGUUUCGAAAGAGACGCUAAUACCGCAUACGCCCUACGGGGGAAAGGGGGGGAUCUUCGGACCCCUCGCUAGUAGUUGAGCCCAUGUCAGAUUAGCUAGUUGGUGGGGUAAAGGCGUACCAAGGCGACGAUCUGUAACUGGUCUGAGAGGAUGAUCAGUCACACUGGAACUGAGACACGGUCCAGACUCCUACGGGAGGCAGCAGUGGGGAAUAUUGGACAAUGGGGGCAACCCUGAUCCAGCCAUGCCGCGUGUGUGAAGAAGGCCCUAGGGUUGUAAAGCACUUUCAGUGGGGAGAAAGGUUGUUCAGUUAAUACCUGAAUGAAUUGAUGUUACCCACAGAAGAAGCACCGGCUAACUCCGUGCCAGCCGCCGCAGUAA